UCAUAAUAAGUUCAAACUUAGCACGGAGUACUAUAUAUAAUUUUUAGUACAAGAUCUGAGACACUUAUUACGAAAUGGAGGGAGUACAACUUACGAUAUGCAAGUUGCGUUUGCUUAUCAAUCUAAUGACUAGAUUUGGAUAGCGGACAAGUAGCAAGUCCGUUUCAAUUGGGUUUCAGAAUUCAGAUGGCCAAUGUUCAUUGGUGUAGAGCCAACAGAUCCUCGUGUCAUACAUCCCUCACGAACGACUUGGGAGUAGGUAAACUUAUCUCCUCUCCCUCAUCGCCGCCCAAGAUGGCCGCUGGGCAAGCUCGCGUGGUUAUCGAUGGCGGCGGCGACCAGGCCUCCUCCGAUCCGGGUGGUUCUCGUGGCCGUUGGGGGUUAGGCAGACGGGCCUCCCCGACGAUGGUGUAGCCAUAGCGGGCGGCAACUGGCCCAACAAUGGGCUGGGUUAGGUUAAGCUGGCCCAAGGCGAGGUGACAUGAAGUCUGCAACAUCUAGCGGCUGGAUGAUAUGCAACCGCAUCUGAGGCUACAUGCUUCGGUCCAAAAAAAAUAAAUCUGAAGCUACCUGUUCCAAAGACCGCCGAAAAAGAGUAAGCUAUACCAAGUCUAGAGUGAAUCGUACUCUGAUCCUCGAGUUAGUAGGUACUCUCGCCUUUUCGAUCCAGUCUAUUCUCGGGUUUUAUAACCAAAUCUCGUUUUAGGACCGGGAUUGCUGCCAUGGCACUUUAAUAUGCUUACUAAGCUGGCUCACAUGUAAUUCCUGUCUUACGGCAUUUUCAAGGGUACAUGUCAAAACCUCAUCAUUCGUCUGUUUUUAUCCGCGGGCGAAAAAUAGUGAACCAACAAGACGUGUCAAAUUCGUAUUUGUUCAUCUGUCCGCGGAUAUGCCAAACCCAUGUCAAAUUCGUCAUUGAUGAUUUGGCAAGUCUGAACACCGUCCUCAGACAUUCUAUGUCACCCAAUGAGUCAAAAAAAAAAAAAUUGACACAUGUCAAAUGAACGAGUGGCAUGUCCACAUGUAUCUUUUGGGGAAAGUGGUGGAUGUCCACAUGUCCGAAUUAUUCUAACACGUGUCAAAUAGAUGGAUGGCAUGCACAUUUGACGUGUUAGAUGCACUUAGACCUCUUCCAUCCUCUUCUCGAUCUCUCUCAUUUAUCUUCUUCCUUAAUCUCUCAAUCGCCAAAUCGAUUUGGUGUUCUUUUUAUACGCACAUAAGCAAUCCCGGUCUCCCAAACAAGAUUUGGAUCCUACAGGUCAAGGUUAAACGAGAUUAAGAAGAUUAGGGUACUAACUUGAAAGAUUAGAAAUAUAAAAUUCAUCGAAAACAUCGUCUAGAAAUUCAAGGUUGAAAAUGGAUAUUACUCGAAAAAUGGUAAAGCGGGUUUUGCUCGUCAUAAUAUAUUCUGUAAAGGUCAACUCAGUUCGGUUAUUGUGCCGGUCAUUUGUCAUCGUUGCUCGCGCGGCGGUCACAACUCACAACACAACUCAAGGGAAACUUGCAAGUCCCCCCCGGAAUCCACCCUCCUCGAUGAAGAUCCAACGGUGCACGCUUAUCAGCCCCAUCUUCUAGAAAGAAAGGUCACCUUUACUUAAACACACUCGAAAGUGGUAGCGGCCGAUGGGACUAAUCAUUGCAAGAACAUGGAUGAUUGAUCCCCACAAGACUUGUACUUGACCGCACUCUUAAAGAAUCUUCAAAGCAGAGUGGAUACUUGAUAGUUUCCCUGAACUGCCUAGUCAUCCCAUUUCAUCCAUUGGAUGCUGCAGAGUGACCUGCGCUGUGAUAUACUAGGAAAAUAGCUGAACCUUCUCAAGGCUUUCAUGGCCAUCACUGCUUUCUGCGGACAUCUCCAUGCCUAAGGCAAAAAGAGGGCUUUCAUCACUGCUCUGGACUAUCAAGGAGGCAUAGAGCCUGUGGAUAGUCCCUGCUUCAGAUGAACUAGAUGACCCAGGCGACAUCGACAACCUCUUCAUGGCAGCCAUUUCUGAUGCCUGGGAAAUGCAAAGCCUUCUCAGCGCCUGCUUCAUAUUAACAGAGUAUCUGCACCAGCCUGGCCAGGACUAAGUGCUCGGCGGUAUGUCCUGCUAUCGAUUGCCUUAAGGAGCUGGUCGAGCUCAUCUUCCACGGGUGGACUCGACUAUCUCGGAGCAGCAACCAGAUGACCCCAUCACCCUCCUAAUAGACAAAUUCAAGACAGACUGACAGUUGGCAACUUAUCUAGCCCACCGUCUGCAGAGCCAUCCAAGGCAGGCAGUUCAUACUACUGCAUUUGUGCCUUUUCACCGAGACGUCAACCAAGAUGGAAAGACUCGGCAGCUAGGAGACUCAGCCAAAGAAACAACUUUUGUUUUCUUCAAAAAAAAGAAAAAAAAAGUUGAGCUCGCGACCAACCUGCAAAGAUGAUGAGAUCCAGAGUUAGUGAUCGAGACAUGGCAAUAGCUGCAUCUGCCAAAAACUGCUGAUAAAUUCUUAAAAAAGGGAAGAAAUCUGAAGGCAACCGAUAAGCAAGAGUCCAAGAAGAAAGGUACAAAAGCAACCACACCAACGGAGAUGUUCCUAUCACAACUCACAACCGGGAAGCAGAUGCAGGUGAAUCAGGAACUCGGGAAGCCAAAAUUUUGGGGGAAGAGGGCCAGAUUCCCAGCAAGAACCCAUUUUCACUCCCCCAAUCCAAGUCAAUUCUCGCGGCAGACGACAGCAAGCAGCAACCCAGAAGAAGGAGAAAGAUCGCUAACGAAGGCAGCUAAAUCUAGGAAAAAAUUCGAGAGGGAGAGAGAAGUAAAGGUUAAAAAAACUAAAAGCUUUUGAGUUCCAGCAGCACACAAAGCUUGGCUCCCAGAUCCGGCGCCGGCGGCGCUCCUGCGAGGCUACAUUCCGCGGGAGCCUCCCCAAGCUCCACAGCAACAGCAAAUUUCGCGAGCAAACCAACCACAACGGCGGGUAACCCAACAAAAACGGGAUUUGGGAUCAGAGAAGUCGCUCCAGAGCGCAGCCGACGAAGCUUACCAGGCAAAAAAAUGGCCGCCCGGAUCUCCAAACGGCGUCUAGGAGCAGCUCGCGUUCCCUGGGCUCUGGGCAGUAGAGCUCGGCGCUGAGCUGAGCUGCUAAUCUCGGGAAUGGCGGCUUCGGGGGGAAGGUGGAGAGAGAGAGGGGGGGGCUCGGAGGAGAGAGAGGAGAAGGGGAGGGAGCCGGAGGGGUGUGCGCCCCACGAAGACGAAUCGGCCUAAAACUAAAGUGAGCAGAGCAAGGGAUUUCCCGGAUCGUCCCUGCAGCGAGCAACACGGAAGAGGGGGGCAGACGUCCGUGUUCCGGUUGGCACGUUCUGGGGCCGUCAGAUCGUGUCACGGACGGCUGGAUUCGCUCUGUGAGGAGAGGGUCCGGCCAUGUGGUAGGAGAUCUCAUUCUGGCCGUGUGAUUGUGUGAAGCGCCGUAUUUGGUUGGGAUCAACGUGCUGGUGAGUAAUCUCGGAGUGCAGUAGUACUGCUCCGAGUUAUGAGAAACACAGGACAUAUGUUUCCCUCUUUAUAAAAUCUCUUUUGACAUAAAUGAGAUUUCAAAGUUUUACUGACUAGUUCAUCGGAGACACUUUUGAUCAA